rnacentral:rRNA from 1 species
CACGUAGGGCGCAAGCGUUGUCCGGAAUUAUUGGGCGUAAAGAGCUCGUAGGCGGUCUGUUGCGUCUGCUGUGAAAACUCGGGGCUUAACCCCGAGCCUGCAGUGGAUACGGGCAGACUAGAGGUAGGUAGGGGAGAUCGGAAUUCCUGGUGUAGCGGUGAAAUGCGCAGAUAUCAGGAGGAACACCGGUGGCGAAGGCGGAUCUCUGGGCCUUACCUGACGCUGAGGAGCGAAAGCGUGGGGAGCGAACAGG